GACGAACGCUGGCGGCGUGCUUAACACAUGCAAGUCGAACGGAAAGGCCCUGCUUGCAGGGUACUCGCGUGGCGAACGGGUGAGUAACACGUGGGAGAUAUGCCCUGCACUUCGGAAUAAGACUGGGAAACUGGGUGUAUAACCGGAGAGGAGACAUCUUUAGUGAGAUGGUUGGAAAGUAUUUUCGGGGUAGGAUGAGCUCGCGGCCUAUCAGCUUGGUGGUGGGGUAAUGGCCUACCAAGGAGGCGGCGGGUAGCCGGCCUGGGGGGGUGGACGGCCACAUUGGGACUUAGGUACGGGCCAGGCUCCUACGGGGGGCAGCAGUUGGGAAUAUUGCACAAUGGGCGCGAGCCUGAUGCAGCGACGCCGCGGUGCGGAUGACGGGCUUCGGGUUGUAAACUCCUUUCGCUAGGGACGAAGCUUUUUGUGACGGUACCUAGAUAAGAAGCACCGGCUAACUACGUG
rnacentral:rRNA from 1 species